rnacentral:rRNA from 1 species
GGGAUAACGUCCCGAAAGGGACGCUAAUACCGCAUGACAUCCUGCCUUUGAACAGGUGGAGAUCUCAUUUAGGGAUCGCAAGACCUAGCGCUUGGAGAGGGGCCCGCGUCCGAUUAGCUAGUUGGUGAGGUAACGGCUCACCAAGGCAACGAUCGGUAGCCGGCCUGAGAGGGCGGACGGCCACACUGGGACUGAGACACGGCCCAGACUCCUACGGGAGGCAGCAGUGGGGAAUUGUUCGCAAUGGGCGCAAGCCUGACGACGCAACGCCGCGUGGAGGAUGAAGAUCUUCGUGUCGUUAUCUCCUUUCGAUCGAGACGAACGGCUUCCGGGCUAAUCACCGGGAGAGUGACGGUACCGAGAGAAGAAGCCCCGGCUAA